UUCCCUAAGUUCAGCUCCUCAGCCCCUCCUCUGCCAUGUUCCCCAUCCUCCUCCCUCGCCCAUCCUGUAACACAGCAGAUGGUCAGAACCCAUCCGCGUGGCAAGUAUUGCACAAGCUGCUUGCAGGAGUCCCGGCAAGAGAAAAUAAGACCUUGAAGCAGGGCAGCCGGUGAAGGUUGUAGUUACCCUCCGUUAACUGCAGCCAGGAAGCAGAUGAUCCUCCUUCAAAUGGAUUGUCAGAAGGUAAAUAAAUACUAGCCUCAUACCACGUCAUUCACUUCCCUUCAUCUCAUCAUGAGAAGAGGAAGGGUGUGUAGAGUACAAUAUGCAGCACGGGUAUGCGUCCUGCCCUCCAGCCAGGACCGUUAUACAGGGAGCAAGGCCCGGGUACCGGAGAGAGCACGUCUCAAUAUACGGAUCCUGUAUCCCUACGUGUCUUCUGAAAUCUAUUCCAACAAGUCAGGAACGAUGUGAUGAGCAUCUACCGAGGGCUGAGAGCCAGGAAAGGACAGCCCCUGGCCUCCAAAAGCAUGAGCUCCCCAGGGAACUGGUAGUAGACAAUUUACCACUAUGAUUCAGCACGGAGGGGAGGAGGGAGGUUUAUAACUGUGGUUCCUGAGGUUUGCUCUGCGUGGGGAGAGCCGUCUGUCCCACUGGAGUACCACAGACUAUGGGGGAUGGAAGGUGGAGAACAGCGAUGCUGACCAUAGCCCUUGUGUUAGAAUCCAACUGGAGAGGCUGAAAACAAAUGCGUAAAAUCCAAGAUCUUGCUGCUGCUUUCUGUUGCCUGAAGUGGAGACAGGGUACUUGGAGACAGGUUCCUCGUUUCUAGAAAAAGCUUUAUUGGGCCUUUCAGGGUGAAAGUGCCCUGGGUCUAAUUUGGAGGGGAGGGUGAGGCACAGAUGAGAGCAGACAGAGCAGCUAGAAGUGGUUAUGGGGACCUGGGUGAGCUGACUUAACCAAGACCCGUUGGUAGUCUUGGUGACCCA